rnacentral:rRNA from 1 species
GCUCCCGGAUGUUAGCGGCGGACGGGUGAGUAACACGUGGGUAACCUGCCUGUAAGACUGGGAUAACUCCGGGAAACCGGAGCUAAUACCGGAUAGUUCCUUGAACCGCAUGGUUCAAGGAUGAAAGACGGUUUCGGCUGUCACUUACAGAUGGACCCGCGGCGCAUUAGCUAGUUGGUGAGGUAACGGCUCACCAAGGCGACGAUGCGUAGCCGACCUGAGAGGGUGAUCGGCCACACUGGGACUGAGACACGGCCCAGACUCCUACGGGAGGCAGCAGUAGGGAAUCUUCCGCAAUGGACGAAAGUCUGACGGAGCAACGCCGCGUGAGUGAUGAAGGUUUUCGGAUCGUAAAGCUCUGUUGUUAGGGAAGAACAAGUGCAAGAGUAACUGCUUGCACCUUGACGGUACCUAACCAGAAAGCCACGGCUAACUACGUGCCAGCAGCCGCGGUAAUACGUAGGUGGCAAGCGUUGUCCGGAAUUAUUGGGCGUAAAGGGCUCGCAGGCGGUUUCUUAAGUCUGAUGUGAAAGCCCCCGGCUCAACCGGGGAGGGUCAUUGGAAACUGGGAAACUUGAGUGCAGAAGAGGAGAGUGGAAUUCCACGUGUAGCGGUGAAAUGCGUAGAGAUGUGGAGGAACACCAGUGGCGAAGGCGACUCUCUGGUCUGUAACUGACGCUGAGGAGCGAAAGCGUGGGGAGCGAACAGGAUUAGAUACCCUGGUAGUCCACGCCGUAAACGAUGAGUGCUAAGUGUUAGGGGGUUUCCGCCCCUUAGUGCUGCAGCUAACGCAUUAAGCACUCCGCCUGGGGAGUACGGUCGCAAGACUGAAACUCAAAGGAAUUGACGGGGGCCCGCACAAGCGGUGGAGCAUGUGGUUUAAUUCGAAGCAACGCGAAGAACCUUACCAGGUCUUGACAUCCUCUGACAACCCUAGAGAUAGGGCUUUCCCUUCGGGGACAGAGUGACAGGUGGUGCAUGGUUGUCGUCAGCUCGUGUCGUGAGAUGUUGGGUUAAGUCCCGCAACGAGCGCAACCCUUGAUCUUAGUUGCCAGCAUUCAGUUGGGCACUCUAAGGUGACUGCCGGUGACAAACCGGAGGAAGGUGGGGAUGACGUCAAAUCAUCAUGCCCCUUAUGACCUGGGCUACACACGUGCUACAAUGGACAGAACAAAGGGCUGCGAGACCGCAAGGUUUAGCCAAUCCCACAAAUCUGUUCUCAGUUCGGAUCGCAGUCUGCAACUCGUUCCCGGGCCUUGUACACACCGCCCGUCACACCACGAGAGUUUGCAACACCCGAAGUCGGUGAGGUAACCUUUAUGGAGCCAGCCGCCGAA